rnacentral:tRNA from 1 species
GCAGAGAUGGCGGAGCGGUCGAACGCGCACGACUCGAAAUCGUGUUUACCCCACGGGUAACAAGGGUUCAAAUCCCUUUCUCUGCGCCA